CUUUAAACCAAUCACAAUCGUCUUGAACGGCGCUAAGCUCCACACGGAGCAAUGGCGCCUCUGCUAAAAAGCCUCGGGAGGGAACUUGUUUUGGUGGAACAAGUGUGUGCGUUCAAG